CCUACGGGUGGCAGCAGUGGGGAAUAUUGCACAAUGGGCGAAAGCCUGAUGCAGCAACGCCGCGUGCAGGAAGAAGGGUUUCGGCUCGUAAACUUCUAUCAACAGGGACGAAAGAAAUGACGGUACCUGAAUAAGAAGCCCCGGCUAACUACGUGCCAGCAGCCGCGGUAAUACGUAGGGGGCAAGCGUUAUCCGGAUUUACUGGGUGUAAAGGGUGAGUAGGCGGCAUGGUAAGGCAGAUGUGAAAGGCUUGGGCUUAACCCGGGGAUUGCAUUUGAAACUCUCAGGCUAGAGUACAGGAGAGGAAAGCGGAAUUCCUGGUGUAGCGGUGAAAUGCAUAGAUAUUAGGCAGAACACCGGUGGCGAAGGCAGCUUUCUGGACUGAAACUGACGCUGAGGCACGAAAGCGUGGGGAGCGAACAGGAUUAGAUACCCCAGUAGUC
rnacentral:rRNA from 1 species